AGGAUCAGCCACGGUAUUGAUAGAUUAGGUUCAUUAAAUGUAUUUUGUACUUAGGGUAUUUUCAAUUUAUGAUAUUGUGAGGUAAUUUCAUUGUAAGUCAAGGAAAGUCUGUAACAUCAAAGACUCUCCGACCCCUUGAUAUCUCCCUUCCAUCCUUCAGCCACUGAAAGGCUGCUGAAUCAUGCCUUGUUCUGUCUACAAGCAGGCACUUCUGCUUCCUAAGAGCCUGGAGAGGUGUGCACUGCAGAAGAGAGCCGAAGAGUGUGCUCUGAACUGGGAGAGGCAGCCAGGUAGAGAGGCCAUGGGAAGGAUAGAAGCACUGUCCUCAGGGGGUUUCCCAGCAUCCUCCCUGAUUUCCCAGCAUCCUUUCUGAUUUCCCAGGAUCCUCUGUGGUUUCCCAGAAUCCUUCCUGGUUUCUGACACUCUCCCUCAAAGCCCCACCAUAUUUAGGGUCCCAUUUGCUGUGAGGACUGCUGGGCCAUGGUUCCAACAAAGGGAGUGAAAGGAAACAGCUCCUCACUUUCCUGUUUGGGCUUUGCUGCCAACUUCACCUUGUCUUGAGUUGAUUGCUUUCAGUCAGAUUAAGGGGGUUGAACCAAAUUAAUGGUUUUUCAACUGGGAACAUACUUCUGUGUGGCCUGUGUUGACUGAAAAAAGAUGCACAAGCUAAAAGCUGACAUCUGUGUAUGCUAAGUCACUUUAGUCAUGUUUGUCUCUUCGCAACCUUAUGGACUGUAGCCCACCAGGCUCCUCUGUGCAUAGGAUUCUCAGGCAAGAACAUUGGAAUGGAUUGCCCUGCCCUCCUCCAGGGGUUCUUCCCAACACAGGGCUCAAACCCACAUCUCCUGUGGCUCCUGCAUUGCAGGCAGAUUCUUUACCAAUGAGCUACUGGGGAAGCCUCCUAAAAGCUGAAAAUUCUGUCUUAUUUGGUGGACAUUUUGAGGACUUCAAGCCCAGGAGACAGAACUCUCAGAUGGUGCUGAGGGACCGCUCUGAAGAGGUAAAGAAGCCAGAAUAUAUAGGAGCUUUUGCAACAAAAACCAGGUGGAUUCUUAACCACUGGACCACCAGAGAAACCCCAGUAUUAUUGCCUGGAGAAUCUCAUGGAUGGAGCAGCCUGGUAGGCUACAGUCCACGGGGUCGCAAAGAGUCAGACACAACUGAGCGACUUCACUUUACUUCACUUCAAAGAAAACUCAGAUUAAGGAAUUUAGCACUUUCCUAUAU
ensembl:lncRNA